rfam:Lupinus angustifolius cultivar Tanjil contig_6042, whole genome shotgun sequence.
AUUGCGAUGAUGUGACGAAAACACAAUGGUGUUAUUAGGCAGUGGACGUUGCCAUUAGGUAGCGCCGUGAGCCUAUAUUUUAACGACUUCUCCUUCCACUGAGCAUA